AGGUACGGGGAAAAAGAUAUCCCGACAUCCCAAAACCCUAAUUCAUUGAAUGUUAUCUGUUACACGGCAGUUGUGAGGUUGAAGAAGAAGAAGAAGAAGAAGAGCGAGCGAGCGAGCACGUGGCUGCUGAUGCUUCUCUGCGAUGCAUGUCUACAUCUGCACGUUGCUGCAUUGAAAUAACAAAACAACAGACAGCUCUCAUUCAUUGUGUCAUCCUCAUUUUAGUGUCAUUCUUUAUUUUCACACCCGUGAAAAAAGGAAAAAGAAAAGAAAGCUUCGAUUUUAUAGCAGUCCACGUUCAAUUCUUUUUAUUAUCAUAAAUCUUGGCAAGGAGGACAGACUUAAGAAUUUUAAUAGGGUUUUCAUAAAAAGUAUAUCUGGUAUGCGAUUAAGAAAAAUUGCACCGAACACCUAAUGAUCGAGUUCUAGGUUACGGGCACGCACCAUCCCUCCUCAGGUCUGCUUUGCUGAGAUAGCCAUGGAAGACAUUUUCUUGUUCUUAGGGCUUGAAUUGGACCAACUGAAUGACGACCUUAUCUGCUUCAAGUGUUGGACUAGCAGCUAGGAAAGUUGCAGAGUGCACUCGCAACGAUGAUAACGCUGUUCUUUAUUGCUUACCACAAUGCAAUGGAUAGAUUUUAGAAAUAUGUAUAGAAUAAUCCGACAGUAUAGUCUAGCUAGCAAUUGCACAGGCAACCACCCUACGAGCACAGACGAUCAAUUUCACGGUGAAUUGCCUAUCAAGGAGGACCACGAGUGACCCACUGCGAUGGUGGUCUCCUAUGUUGUGGCGGUGGACGACCAUUUCGACUACCCACGACGAUAGAGAUGGAAAUGGGGGCAAAGAGAAAUCUCAGGCAAGAAUCACAACAGGAUUGCACCUUGUGCAAUUAUCAUGCGGUCAACUCAUCUACUAUGAUGACGCACGCAACGUAGUAAGAAAAGCGAUAAACGGUGUUUAUAUCAGCUUAUUCAAUAAGAUUUUGCCCAAAUGGUGCGACAUUUGGCAUAUCAUGAGUCAUGGCGUGCUCAAUUACCUUUUGACCUCGCUACGUUACAUCUCUCUCACACA